rnacentral:rRNA from 2 species
UGUUUGAUGUUCUAACGUGGACCCGUGAUCCGGGUUGCGGACAGUGUCUGGUGGGUAGUUUGACUGGGGCGGUCUCCUCCUAAAGAGUAACGGAGGAGCACGAAGGUUGGCUAAUCCUGGUCGGACAUCAGGAGGUUAGUGCAAUGGCAUAAGCCAGCUUGACUGCGAGCGUGACGGCGCGAGCAGGUGCGAAAGCAGGUCAUAGUGAUCCGGUGGUUCUGAAUGGAAGGGCCAUCGCUCAACGGAUAAAAGGUACUCCGGGGAUAACAGGCUGAUACCGCCCAAGAGUUCAUAUCGACGGCGGUGUUUGGCACCUCGAUGUCGGCUCAUCACAUCCUGGGGCUGAAGUAGGUCCCAAGGGUAUGGCUGUUCGCCAUUUAAAGUGGUACGCGAGCUGGGUUUAGAACGUCGUGAGACAGUUCGGUCCCUAUCUGCCGUGGGCGCUGGAGAACUGAGGGGGGCUGCUCCUAGUACGAGAGGACCGGAGUGGACGCAUCACUGGUGUUCGGGUUGUCAUGCCAAUGGCACUGCCCGGUAGCUAAAUGCGGAAGAGAUAAGUGCUGAAAGCAUCUAAGCACGAAACUUGCCCCGAGAUGAGUUCUCCCUGAGACUUAGAGUCUCCUGAAGGAAC